rnacentral:rRNA from 1 species
UGGGGAAUUUUGGACAAUGGGCGCAAGCCUGAUCCAGCCAUGCCGCGUGUGUGAAGAAGGCCUUCGGGUUGUAAAGCACUUUUGUUCGGGAAGAAAUCGUGCGGAUUAAUACUUCGUAUGGAUGACGGUACCGAAAGAAUAAGCACCGGCUAACUUCGUGCCAGCAGCCGCGGUAAUACGAAGGGUGCAAGCGUUACUCGGAAUCACUGGGCGUAAAGCGUGCGUAGGCGGUUCGUUAAGUCUGCUGUGAAAGCCCUGGGCUCAACCUGGGAACUGCAGUGGAUACUGGCGAGCUAGAGUGUGAUAGAGGAUGGUGGAAUUCCCGGUGUAGCGGUGAAAUGCGUAGAGAUCGGGAGGAACACCAGUGGCGAAGGCGGCCAUCUGGAUCAACACUGACGCUGAGGCACGAAAGCGUGGGGAGCAAA